ensembl:lncRNA
AGUUCACCCUCAAUUAUGGCUGCUGGCAGCCAAUAGGUUCCAUAUUAUACUUCAGUGCUUCAUGAGAGUUACAGAGCAGGGAGAGCGAGGAAAAAGAGAAUUACAUUUAUUGGCACAGGAGGAAAUGAAUGUGGGAAGAAACCCAGAUGAACAUUUAUAGCAAGUGACAAAAGUGAGACUGUUUUUAACUUUUGCCAACAGUAGAUGUUGAACCAAGUUGGAUUUAUUAUCACGCACAUAUCUUUCAACAUUUGUUUCCUGAAGCAUAUCUUAGUCACCUGACCAACACGUUUUUGACUUUUAACGGGGUACCUGCAUGUCUUUUAUUUUAUUUUGUUCUUGAUGUUUUACAGGCCUGAAGGAGGAGAUGAAGACUCUGAAAAUAGAUCUCCAGAAAAAACACUGUAUGAUCGAGAGCAUGUAAAUAAACUCCUGGAGAUACAGUCCUUGGAGAAGGAGGAUCUGCGAGUAUUGUGGAGUGAACAGACGGCUGCCAUUGAGAGCAACAUGUGCUAAUGCCAACUCUGUUGGAAACAACUGUGAAUGUUAAGAAAUGAAGAAUGAAGAUCUGCUUAGACAACCAGCAUGUCAUCAUCCAAAACACAACAUUUAUCUUUUCAGCAAGGUAGGGUGUAUGUAGGCAGUUUGCAUUGAGGCAGCACUCUUGGUUUCGGAACAGAACUAUUUAUUUUGUGUGAGCGCAGAUGUGUGCAGAUAUCUAGAUUUCAUGUGGAUGUAAAUGGUUGCAUGUGUCAUGAGUCAUUGUGUUCAUACUUUCCCCUGAAGGCUGUCCCAGAGACCUGAGGGAGAAGGAGGAGAGCUGGUUGUCAUGUCAACAACAAUGCAAGUCCAUGCAGGAGCAGCUGUUGUCGUGCCAACAGAAACAGGAGGUGGUGACCCAGAGACUACAAUGGGCAGAAGGGUUUUUGACCCUCGAAAAUGGAGACUUUCAAAAAUGCUGCAGACCCUGUUUGAGUUUAACAACUGCAGAAGUGUAAACGGACCAAAACUGAAACUUUUGAAAAUGAUGGUGUGGAUGCCCACAUUCGCUCUGCUUAUCUUUGAUGACCUUGUAAAGGUGUGCUUAGAGCAAUUGGCAACAAAGAUGUCCUUGCUUUUCCUCUGCAUUAUGCUCAUUGUUGUACCUGCCAGUGACUAGCAACCAACUGUAUACACUUUAACGCGCAUACCCAGUGUGCAUGAGUGGUCAUGUGACAUGCUUUUUUCAGUUGUGUAGUGUGGAGAUUUACUCUUCUCCAGGGUUUUUGACCCUAAUAAAUGGAGACUUUCAAAAAUGC